UACGAAGGGGGCGAGCGUUGUUCGGAAUUACUGGGCGUAAAGGGCUCGUAGGCGGCCAACUAAGUCAGACGUGAAAUCCCUCGGCUUAACCGGGGAACUGCAUCUGAUACUGGAUGGCUUGAGUUCGGGAGAGGGAUGCGGAAUUCCAGGUGUAGCGGUGAAAUGCGUAGAUAUCAGGAGGAACACCGGUGGCGAAGGCGGAUCUCUGGGCCUUACCUGACGCUGAGGCGCGAAAGCUAGGGGAGCAAACAGG
rnacentral:rRNA from 1 species